AGUGAAUGGCCAAGAUUUUCUUCAAUUGAAAAGAUUAUGUGGUUGUUUUUUACUUUGUCUGUGAAGAUAUUUCAUCAUACAUAUUUUUUUUUCUGGUAAGCUCACACAGAGGAGAUGAUUAACCACAGGCUUGUCAAACACAGUUGGAAAAGCUAGCAACACUGCAUGCUGGAAUUUAUGUUACACUCAUCUCACUUCCAAUGUGCAUAUGAAAAGAGCAUUUUUGUCUGUAGGAUCUUUCAAAUUAGAUGAUUUUUUAAAGGAUAUUUUCUAUGAUUUAGAAGUCAUCUGAUAUUCCAAGCAGUUAUUGACUAGAUCUACUGUACUAAGGAAACUUAAGUUUGGCAGAGGAUCUCACGGUCUGGAUUGCCAUACUGGUAAG